UGCCCACUGAUUUUAAAAUUAAAGGGCUGCAGUAUAUUGACUGUACAAAGGUAGCAUAAUCAUUAGUCAUUUAAUUGAUGACUUGUAUGAAAGAUUUGAUGAGAUAUAAACUGUUUUAAUUUUAAAUUGUAGAAUUUAAUUUUUUAGUUAAAAAGCUAAAAUAAUUUAAAAAGACGAGAAGACCCUAUAGAGUUUUAUUUCAAUAGAAAUUUAUAAUUUUUUAUAAAUUUUAAAUUAAAAUUUUUAUUAAAAUUUUAUUGGGGUGAUAAAAAAAUUUAAUUAACUUUUUUUUUAAUAAAAACAUAAAUAAGUGAAUAUUUGAUCCAGUUGUAUUGAUUAUAAGAAAAAAUUACCUUAGGGAUAACAGCGUAAUUUUUUUUUUUAGUUCAUAUAAGAAAAAAAGUUUGCGACCUCGAUGUUGGAUUAAGAUAAAAUUUAAAUGUAAAAGUUUAAAAUUUUGA
rnacentral:rRNA from 1 species